CAGUCGCCGCGGUAAAACGUAGGUCCCGAGCGUUGUCCGGAUUUAUUGGGCGUAAAGCGAGCGCAGGCGGUUAGAUAAGUCUGAAGUUAAAGGCUGUGGCUUAACCAUAGUAUGCUUUGGAAACUGUUUAACUUGAGUGCAGAAGGGGAGAGUGGAAUUCCAUGUGUAGCGGUGAAAUGCGUAGAUAUAUGGAGGAACACCGGUGGCGAAAGCGGCUCUCUGGUCUGUAACUGACGCUGAGGCUCGAAAGCGUGGGGAGCAAACAGGAUUAGAUACCCCAGUAGUCCCUGUCUCUUAUACA
rnacentral:rRNA from 1 species